rnacentral:rRNA from 1 species
GACGAACGCUGGCGGCGUGCUUAACACAUGCAAGUCGAACGGAAAGGCCCUGCUUUUGUGGGGUGCUCGAGUGGCGAACGGGUGAGUAACACGUGAGUAACCUGCCCUUGACUUUGGGAUAACUUCAGGAAACUGGGGCUAAUACCGGAUAGGAGCUCCUGUUGCAUGGUGGGGGUUGGAAAGUUUCGGCGGUUGGGGAUGGACUCGCGGCUUAUCAGCUUGUUGGUGGGGGAGUGGCUUACCAAGGCUUUGACGGGUAGCCGGCCUGAGAGGGUGACCGGCCACAUUGGGACUGGGAUACGGCCCAGACUCCAACGGGGGGCAGCGGUGGGGAAUAUUGCACAAUGGGCGGAAGCCUGAUGCAGCAACGCCGCGUGCGGGAUGACGGCCUUCGGGUUGUAAACCGCUUUCGCCUGUGACGAAGCGUGAGUGACGGUAAUGGGUAAAGAAGCACCGGCUAACUACGUG